GAUCUGCCAAGUUUGGAUCAAUUCUGCAGUUAUGCAAAUGACAGAAUAUCAUACAGUACAGCAACAGGCAGUUGUACUUACUUGAAACUAUGCAGACCAUGGAGGUUAAACACUGAUGAAUGGGGUAGCAGCCAUGACAUUAGAUUACAAAAUCUAAGAGGCCCUUUCAAAGUAAGAGCUUUGAGGAAGAAUGACUUUGUGAAAGUGCAUAUUCAAUUAAAGUAACUUUGUUUUAUUAUGUUGACCUAAUACAGACAUCAGAAACACUUGAACAUAUUAAAGCUUCUUAACUUAGGAACACUGUAAACAAGACGUGAGGUUGCACUCUAAUGGCUGCGGCAAGGACAGAGAAUGCAACAGGCUAACUACCAAGACUUAACCCAAACAGACAUACAUAAUACAUUUAAAUUUCAAGUACAAUAACUCAGCUUCUUUGUUUUUGCUCUAACUGCAGACGCAACACACACAGAAGUGCUUUUCCACAUGCAAUAGGAACAGUUGGUUUUAAUUAUGAUGUAGGGGACAAUGAUAUAUUGUAAAUUUUGAUAUUUUUGCAUCACAUUUGCAUGACGUUGAGUGCUGAAUGCCUAAGAUCACCUGACAGACACAUUAAUGUGCAAAAAGUUUUUUAUUUCAGCUCAGUCUUCCUUUUUAGCAACUAACACCAUUGAUUUUAAUGAAGUUAACAUUCUUUGUGGACCAUGGGCUGUGCCAUUAUGCAAUAAAAACAACGACAGCUGAACAUUUGAUUUAAAGAUUCCAGCUCUCUGGUUUUCUGAUUGAACUGUGGUGAGACGCCUCCUCCUCAUGUUUUAUUUUGGUUGGACUUCCUGUUUUUCUUUGUUUGCCUGGUAUGGCUUGACUCUUUUCCAGAGCACCCUCCCCCUCCCCGGUCGCUGAGGCUGAGUGAGACUCCACACCUGCACUGAAUCUGCAAUCAAGGCCUUUAAGAAGCCAGCAGCCCUCAGUCUCAGCGCCUGAGUAUUGUCUUCACUCCCAAGUGGUACAGACGCGUCUUCUGGCCUUCCUUUUGAAUAAGUGCUCGUAACUUUGCUCUGUGAUUCAUUGUAUGUUUACGCACUUCCAUCUCCUCUGUUUUCUACGCAGUGUCUCCAGCCCACACAACAGCCAGCCAGCCAACCGGACUUUCUCUUUUGCCUUCACCUCUGAGUUUGGCCAUUAAAAUUACAUCUUAAUUUGCUAUCUGCCUCUGUGUCUGCUUCUGGGUCCUCAAAAUACACCACACGCCACAGAAUUCUAAGGCAAGGAUAAUGGACCCAGCAGACCCGGACAGGUUCAAGCAAGCCAUCCACAAGCUUGGGGCUCCCCUCGGUCAACAUGGGAUAUGCUCCAGGGCCUCAAUCAGCCCUUCGAGGGUCUCUCAGUCCAAGUAGUGCAACUUGCGGAGCAACUCCUCUCUCGGCUUCCACCGCAGCUAUCUGGGUCUCCCCCCUCUGUGAGUAUGGUUCCCUCUACCUUCUCCGCCCUCACCUAACAUCAAAGAGCCCUUUGUCCCUCCUCCUGAGCUGUAUGCUGGGGAGAUUGGGGGCUGCAGAGGUUCCCUCUUCCGCUGUGCGUUAGUGUUAGAUCAACAGCCAAUUAGUUAUCCCUCGGAUCGGUCCAAGGUAGCCUACACCGUGAACCUAUUGAGAGGCAAAGCCUCUAAGUGGGCUACUGCCAUUUGGGAUAAGGGUUCGCCAAUGUUUUCCUCAUAUGCCAGAUUCACUGAGGAACUUUGCGAAGUGUUUGAUUAUCCUGUCGAGGGUCCCAAAUGUACAAAACAGUUGUUUUCCCUCACCCAGGGCUCUCCGUCUGUGGCAGAAUUUUCUAUUGAGUUCCGCACAGUGGCGGCCGAGAGUGGGUGGGGGAAACUAGAAUUAAAGGGUAUAUUCUCUUGUGGUCUGUCGGGACAGCUUAUAGAUGAGCUAGCAGAUCCUGAUGAACCCUCCUCACUUGAGGAGCUAAUCGCGUUAGCCAUUAGGUUAGACAAUCGCCUCAGGGAGAGACGGAGGGAAAAGAAAGUAAAUUCCCCUACCCAUGGCAUAGACUCCCCAUUCUCUGUCACGGUCAGCGUGUCUCCUCUGCAGCCCUCAGUUUUUCUGGAUCUGGCGCCCUCUGCCGGGGAACGCAUGCAAAUCGGCCGCACCAAACUACAUCCCAGUGAACGGAAACGACAGAUGGAGCAGAAGCUCUGUGUUUAUUGUGGCCAGGCUGGCCACUUUCUGCCCAACUGUCCAAACAAGUUAAACGACCAGGCUCAUCAGUGACAGAGAGCACCCUGAUGAGCCACACCUCCUCUGUCCCCAGCUCUCCCAGACAUAUCUCUGUACCUGCUUGCCUUCUGUGGGGAAAAGAAUCUACGUCUCUCCAAACCCUAAUUGACUCUGGGGUGGACAACAACUUCAUUCACGCCAGACUGGCAGCGCAGCUUAAGCUCCCCCUGGACGUACUCCCGGUUCCCCGUAAGGUCACCACUCUCAAUGGCAGGGUUAUAGCCACCAUAACCCACUGCACUACUCCUCUUACCCUCAUCCUCUCUGGAAACCAUCGUGAGGACAUCCGGUUGUUCUUGCUUCCCUCUCCGCACUCACCCCUUGUGCUUGGACUCCCGUAGCUGCAGAUCUACAACCCCCAAAUCAACUGGUCCACAGCUUCAAUCUCCGCCUGGAGUCCUCACUGCCACUCUCAUUGCCUCCGCUCCGCCAAUCCCUACAUCCACCGACAGAAGUCAGCAUGACCACCACCAUCUCUCGCCUCUGUUCCCCCCGUUUCCUAUGAUCUGGCCAUGGUUUUCAGUAAGGAGCAGUCUCUCGUCCCUCCUCCUCAUUGCCCAUAUGACUGCGCCAUAGAUUUGCUCCCUGGCGCCCCUCUCCCCAGCAGCAGACUGUACAAUCUCUCUCGGCCUGAACGAGAGGCCAUGGAGGAAUACAUCCAGGACUCCUUGACAUCUGGACUCAUCCGACCCUCAUCCUCUCCCCUUGCUGCUGGAUUUUUCUUUGUGAAGAAAAAAGAUUCCUCUCUCUGUCCCUGCAUCGACUUCCGCUGAAGCAAUGAGUUCACCAUUAAAAACAAAUAUCCCCUGCCACUCAUCGAUCCCUCCUUCGAACCUCUCUGCAAGGCCACCAUCUUCUCCAAACUGGACCUCCGGAAUGCCUAUCACCUGGUUCGCAUCAGGGAGGGUGACGAGUGGAAAAUGCCUUCAAUAUACCCAUAGGCCACUUCGAGUACCUCGUCAUGCCCCUUGGCCUCACCAAUGCCCCUGCUGUGUUCCAGGCUCUCAUUAAAGACGUCCUCUAGGACAUGAUCAACCAAUUCGCCUUCGUCUAUCUGGACGAUAUCCUGAUCUUCUCCCACAACCUGGAGAAACAUCAACAGAAUGUUCGACUGGUCCUCCAGUGACGAAGAGAACCACCUCUUCGUCGAACUCAAGAAGUGCGAGUUCCAUGCCUCCUCCAUUAGCUUCUUUGGAUACAUCAUCGCCCAGGGGGAGCUACGCCCAGACCCGGAGAAAGUCCACGCUGUCUGUGACUGGCCCACUCCCUCCUCCCGCAAAGACCUCCAGCGAUUCCUCGGCUUCGCAAACUUUUACCGGAGAUUCAUCAGGAACUGCAGCAAGGUGGCUAUGCCUCUUACCCCUCUCACAUCUCUCAAACUCCCGUUCUCCUGGACUACUGAAGCAGACGCCACCUUCUGUCGACUCAAGUCCCUCUUCAUCUCCACCCCAGUGCUCAAACACCCGGAUCCCUCCCUCCAAUUCAUAGUGGAGGUCGAUGCUUCAAACUCUGGAGUGGGGACCGUCUUCUCACAGAGGGAUUCCGAGACCCAGAAGCUCCAUCCUUGCGUCUACUUCUCCCAGAAACUCUCACCCACCGAGCGUAACUAUGAUGUGGGAAACUGUGAGUUGCUGGCUGUUGUGCGAGCACUCCAAGAAUGGAGACAUUGGCUGGAAGGAGCACAAAAACCCUUCCUCAUCUGGACCACAAGAACCUGCAAUAUCUCUGUUCUGCUCGACGCCUCAACUCCAGGCAAGCCCACUGGUCCCUCUUCCUCAGCAGAUUCUGCUUCACCCUCUCCUAUCGUCCCGGCUCCCGCAACGUCAAACCUGACUCCCUAUCUUGGAUCCACUCCUCAGCUACCUCUGACCCCAGAGAACUGGACACCAUCCUUCCCGCCUCCUGUGUCAUUUGCUCCGCCUCUUGGGUAAUCAACCCAGACCCUGGAACCAGUCCUCCUAAAAGAAAAUUCGUCCCUGAGGUUGCACGUUCCCAGGUCCUACAGUGGGGGCACUCCUCCAAACUCACCUGUCACCCCGGAUUUCAACGCACCCU